GCCCUCGUGGUGUAACGGCAGCACACUCGGCGCCUAUUCGAGAGGUCCAGGUUUGAAUCCUGGCGAGGGCA